rnacentral:lncRNA from 1 species
UGCUGUCUUGAGAUUCUCAUUGUGUCUUGAGCCAUUGCUGGUCAUUGCUUCUCUAACACUGCAGACCUUCCUAGCACAUCUGCCCUAGAAAGGCAGCUGAUCGGGUGAGGAGAUUUCUGGCCUCCAGGUAAGGAGACCUAAUUGCAGCCCCUGCUUUGCUACUACUGCUUUUUCAGUGUGACCCUGGGAGUCAUGGAGCCUCUAAAAUUUAGUAAUUUGAACUAGAUUAAGGCUCUCUCCUGCUGUCAACAGUUCUAAUUCUGGUCAAGUCUGUUUCUGGGCUUUCAUCUCCAAAAAGAGGCAACGGAUCUGUACCUUCCUAUCUUUUGUCAAAGGCUUGUGUUGCCAGGUGGCUUACCAGAAGUGAUGAUA